rnacentral:rRNA from 1 species
GACGAACGCUGGCGGCGUGCUUAACACAUGCAAGUCGAACGGUGAAGCGCCUUCCCUUUUGGUGGGUGUGGAUGAGUGGCGAACGGGUGAGUAACACGUGAGUAACCUGCCCCCUUCUUCUGGAUAACCGCAUGAAAGUGUGGCUAAUACGGGAUAUUCUGGGUCUGUCGCAUGAUGGGUCUGGGAAAGAUAUUGUUUCGGUGGGGGAUGGGCUCGCGGCCUAUCAGCUUGUUGGUGGGGUGAUGGCCUACCAAGGCGGUGACGGGUAGCCGGCCUGAGAGGGUGGACGGUCACACUGGGACUGAGACACGGCCCAGACUCCUACGGGAGGCAGCAGGGGGGAAUAGUGCACAAUGGGCGCAAGCCUGAUGCAGCGACGCCGCGUGAGGGAUGGAGGCCUUCGGGUUGUGAACCUCUUUCGCCAGUGAAGCAGGCCUGCCUCGUUUGUGGGUGGGUUGACGGUAGCUGGAUAAGAAGCGCCGGCUAACUACGUG